AGAGUUUGAUCCUGGCUCAGAGCGAACGCUGGCGGCAGGCUUAACACAUGCAAGUCGAGCGGGCGUAGCAAUACGUCAGCGGCAGACGGGUGAGUAACGCGUGGGAACGUACCUUUUGGUUCGGAACAACACAGGGAAACUUGUGCUAAUACCGGAUAAGCCCUUACGGGGAAAGAUUUAUCGCCGAAAGAUCGGCCCGCGUCUGAUUAGCUAGUUGGUGAGGUAACGGCUCACCAAGGCGACGAUCAGUAGCUGUUCUGAGAGGAUGAUCAGCCACAUUGGGACUGAGACACGGCCCAAACUCCUACGGGAGGCAGCAGUGGGGAAUAUUGGACAAUGGGCGCAAGCCUGAUCCAGCCAUGCCGCGUGAGUGAUGAAGGCCCUAGGGUUGUAAAGCUCUUUUGUGCGGGAAGAUAAUGACGGUACCGCAAGAAUAAGCCCCGGCUAACUUCGUGCCAGCAGCCGCGGUAAUACGAAGGGGGCUAGCGUUGCUCGGAAUCACUGGGCGUAAAGGGUGCGUAGGCGGGUCUUUAAGUCAGGGGUGAAAUCCUGGAGCUCAACUCCAGAACUGCCUUUGAUACUGAAGAUCUUGAGUUCGGGAGAGGUGAGUGGAACUGCGAGUGUAGAGGUGAAAUUCGUAGAUAUUCGCAAGAACACCAGUGGCGAAGGCGGCUCACUGGCCCGAUACUGACGCUGAGGCACGAAAGCGUGGGGAGCAAACAGGAUUAGAUACCCUGG
rnacentral:rRNA from 1 species